UGCGCGGCUUGCUCCAGCAAGGUAAAAUUUCCCACUGCGAGGCAGGCAGUGAUGCUGCGGCCGCUUCGCACUGUGGCUCCUGCCGACCGCCAGGCGCUGUUACAGUGGAUGCGAACUAACCGUAAGUCAUUAUAUCGUACUGCAGAAACCAGCUCAACUAUGCAAAACUACCACCAGGACUGGCCGACACCAGGAGGGAUUCCAGAGACCACACUGCAGGGAGCAUACAGAAAGAAAAUUAAGAGAUCAGAUGCAGCAGCAGCCGGAACCCACAGUUCACCUUGGUGCAUUCCUUUAUGAUGAAGACUUAUUGAUUCAUUAUAUGAGAAAGGAAAAAUGAGCAGAAACUACUGUAUGAUGUGCAGCUCACACCAGACAGCAACUUUAGGGUUAUCUUUCCAGUUCAGCAGUGCAACUCUAUGGAGUAGAAUUGAAAGGAGACUUUUCGCCAAUUGCAGGAAAUGGUCAUAAAAAAAUACCUGCUCACUGACAGAAUAAAGGCUUAUUAGAUCCUGAUCACCUAAGAGUUUCUUGUCAGCACUCCUGUCAAAUGGAUGAAAUGCGCCCGGAAGGCUACCUCUGACAAAAGGGAAGGCACAGCAGAAAUGUUACUGUGUAAGGGUGCCAGUGGGUACAGAUGUGGUUAUCAUCUUCCACUAAUCAUCUAAGAACAAAGCAUCUUUUGCUCCUUUGGGGGGCUAAAUGGGAUGGUUACUAAGUGGGAAGGAUGUGCUUUCCUAAUACAGCAGCAUAAUAAUUGUUCUAAAAGAUUUUAACCCUGGCUGGGCACAGUGGCUCACGCCUGUAAUCCCAGCACUUUGGGAGGCUGA
rnacentral:lncRNA from 1 species